GAAGUAACAGUAAUGCAGACUGACUAGAGACCAUUAACUUCAGAACUGAAGAGGUGCAGGUCUUUAUAUGGCGAAUGAUGGAACCAUGGUGGAGUUUUGGAUUUAUAAGGUGUGAAGUUACAGGAAAGCAGAAUAACUACAAACCAUGAUAUUUAGAAAUGAAGAGAUGCAUGUCUUUGUUCAGUAAGGUGUAUAUGGGAAACAUUGUGGAUGGCAGACAUGAAAUGAUUUAUGCGAAGUAAUAGAAAAGCAGAAUGGCUACAGACUUUCAAUUCAGAAUUGAAGAGAUGCAGGUCUUUGUUCUAUAUGGUGUAUGAGGGAACCAUGGCGAAAAUUUGGAUUUCAUGAUAGUUAUAGAAAUAUCUAAUAAGUCUAUAGGACAGUGACGUGUGUACCAGUUUGUCAGGCUAUCACAUGUCUGUGCAGGUGACAAAUUCGCUAUGGACGCGUAGGUUCUCAAAUGAUUUGGCCGAACUUUUCACAGUCAUAAAGACAGAUAUGAAAAGGUUUUAGGUCUAUAGGACAGUUAUGUGACAGUGUGUAUCAUUCUGUAAGGCUAUCACAUGUGUGUCCAGUCAACAAAAUUGCAGUGGGUGCAUAGAAUCUCAAAUAACAGGGGAGAACUUUUCACAGUCUCAAAGACAGACAUCAAAAGAUUACAGACUGUCUUACAGGAAAGAGAAAAAGGAAAAUGACCUCAGGAAGUUCCUAAGGACAAGAAUGUCUGUGAUUCAUGGAAACUUCAGAGUUCAGCAGCUUCUUGAAACAGUCCAUAGACAGAUAGUAGGAGGACUUUGGUUGAGUGUUGAGGGAGGUUCUGAGCACAAGCCUCUGGCACAAGCCAUGCUAUCUAGAUAUAUUUCCGGCCAGGCAGCUGCGAAAACCAGACAACUCUUUAUAUCAGAGAAUCUGUACAAAAGUUGAAUGAUGUAAACUUAGAGACCUACACAAAUGAUCAGGUGACGGAAGCAUUGAAAACAGCGGGAGGUGUCGUUACAUUGACUAUCCAGUAUUUCAAAGCAGCUGGUUUGUUCCUUAACAAAUCUUCCGACCAUUAUGACUUCACCUCCUGACGUGAUUUUACCAAGACUUGAGACAGUGUGUUGUCUACUCAUCAAUACCACUGUUAUAUGCAUACAUAACACGAUAUGUCGGUCAGACAGAUCAACUCAAAUUCAGUAUAUGUGUUGGACAUAAGAGAGGGGGAGUCCUUGCAACAGCACAGAUGGUUGGAGACCCAAGUUCGUUGCCACGAAAGGUCAAGAUACAGACUUGUUUGAUGUACCUCCUGUGCAAAGUAGAGAUUGAAUGAGGUGUGAUACAAUCUUCUAGGUGUAUGAAUGCAUGUUUGAAAUUCGUCAGGAUUCUGAGAUUUUGGAUGAUAAGCAGAAGUUGUUCCAUACAGACAUGCAGAAAGGACACAAUCUGCCUGACCUUAGAAAAUAGAUCAGAUCUUUUACAGCUUGAGAAAGCAUGGUAUAGAACCAACCACUCUGCUGUUACCAAAUAAAAGGUACAUGUAUAUACUCAGGUUACAGAUUUGCGGUAUCAGCCAGCAUCCACAGCCAUUCUAAAUAAAGGACCAAUACAGUCAGACAAGUUGACAAGAUGAUUUUACGUUCAAGAGUGGUGACAUUCUGCCCAAUAUUCUAGUCUGAAGAUACCAUCAGCCGAUCCUGGAAUCUUUUUUAAGAUUUAAGUUUAAAAAUGUGACAAUUACUUAAGACUACAUAUAGACUGCUUUCAGUUAAAGGCUUUUCUCUGUUUUGUUUUUAUCAGCAUAUUACGAUCUGGAAAAUGACUGUAUUGGAGACAAGUUUGUAUGACAAAUUCUAAUAUGGCUAACAAUGCUUUAAUCAUCACAACGAUGUUAUGUUGACGUCACAUCAACCUGAUAUUUAGCGCCAUGUACGCAUCAAGCUUUCAAAUUUCAUAAAAUAGUUUACUUAAUAAGAUGUUUUGAACGAAAUGUAACAUUGCACAAAUGUUUUGGUUAAUUCAUACACAUACUGAAUUAGUUUUUCACUUUUGCUGAAUAAUUCGCAAUAAUUUUCGCUCAAGCUGAAUUCUGCCGCAAGACGUAUUACCGUUUCCGGUUCUGGCGUGUUUUAACAAAUACCUACUAUUGGCACCAUGCUUGCACGAAGAAACAGGUUCAUCAUAUUUGAUAUAAAUUUUACAAUAAAGAACAUAUGAGAAUCAAAAUAAUUUAUAGCAAAACAGUGCUUUAUCACUAUUUAUACACUUGGGUGGUUAUACGUCGUCCAAAAUAAUUUCACUCGGGCUGUGCCCUCGUGAAACUGUUAUGCCCGACAUAUAACCGCCCAUCCUGUUAAUAGUAAUAAAGCACUGUUUUGCUUUAAAUAAUUUCUUAAAUAAAAUAAAGAUUUUUAUGUUAAUAUAGAUAAUUAUAUACUUUCAAAGUGACUUUAUCAUGUCUUUAAGACAUGCAAAAUUGCAGAGAUUUUUUUAAAAAUGUUUUCAGGAAGUGCAGCAAAAAACAUCCUUAUUUGACAAGACACAGCUUUUACAACUGUAACAUAUGUUACAAAAAGUUAAAUGGACUUUUACAAAGAAAAUUGUUAAUUACGUCAAGAGUUACAUAGUUCCUAUCUAUAUGACUUACGUUUGCUUUCAACUGUAUUGCAUGACUUUUAUUAGUUUUUGCGACUUCCUACAUUUUGGCAAGCUGAUUUAUUCCGUCUGUAUUCUUCAAGUUUACUGCUAAAGUGUAAUAAUAAACUUGAAAUGAUGCUUUUCUAUCUUUCACUUUUUGAAAAAUUUCGGACAAUUUUUUGUAAACUGAAGAAUCUGAAACUAUAUGAUACAUUACUAAUUAUUACAUAAUUCCUUUUUAUACGCCCAUUUGAAAAACGGGACGUAUUAUGGGAACGCCCCU
rnacentral:lncRNA from 1 species